rnacentral:lncRNA from 1 species
UACUGUGCAACAACGCGUAUUAUUGUAUUUUAACCACCAGGUAUUCCAACAGUGUUAACGGUAAAAACUCAAACUUGUCGUUUUCUUCAUCCGACAGUUAUUCCGUUAUGGGGCCCACAAAUGACUGCGCCGUCGUACGGAUAUUCCCGACAAAAAGAAUAUUCCACGACCAAACGAAUAUUCUCCGACAACAAUGAAUAUUUUAUAGCCACUUGUGUGUUUUGUAAAAUUUGCAUAUUUCACCCAUAACUUUAAACUUUUAUCAAUUUUAACAUUUACUGAAUAAUAAUUAUAAGAAAAAUUGAAUAAUUUUAUUUCAUAAAAUUCGGGGUCUUACAAUCUCCCCUCCUUAUGAAAUUUCGUCCCCGAAAUUUACGUACCUGGUAUUUCAAAGAGUUGAGAAUACCUUGCUUUCAUUUCAGAGUCCAUCUUUCCUGUCCUCAUGAUUUCUCCAUUGCUCAUCUCCUGUAUUUCAGAUAUCAUUCUAGAAUACCGCUUCAAAACAAGGGUUAAUUGAAUAAAUUAACAUAUCA